UACGUAGGGUGCAAGCGUUGUCCGGAAUUAUUGGGCGUAAAGAGCUCGUAGGCGGUUUGUCGCGUCUGCUGUGAAAACCCGAGGCUCAACCUCGGGCCUGCAGUGGGUACGGGCAGACUAGAGUGCGGUAGGGGAGAUUGGAAUUCCUGGUGUAGCGGUGGAAUGCGCAGAUAUCAGGAGGAACACCGAUGGCGAAGGCAGAUCUCUGGGCCGUAACUGACGCUGAGGAGCGAAAGCGUGGGGAGCGAACAGGAUUAGAAACCCUGGUAGU
rnacentral:rRNA from 1 species